rnacentral:rRNA from 1 species
GAUGAACGCUGGCGGCGUGCCUAAUACAUGCAAGUCGAGCGAUCACGCGAGUUGCUUUCUCCUCUGGCGUUAGCGGCGGGCGGGUUACUACGACAUGGAUCCCCUCCCUAUAAGACUGGGAUAACUUCGUGAACCCGGACCUCAUACCGUCUACUAUAUUGAACCGCAUGGUUCAAUAGUUACAGACGGCUUUGCUGUCGCUUAUAGAUGGGUCCGCGCCUGAUUAGCUAGUUGGUAAGGUAAAGGCUUACCAAGUCAACGAUGCGUAGCCGACCUGAGAGGAUGAUCGGCCACACUGGAACUGAGACACGGUCCAGACUCCUACGGGAGGCAGCAGUAGGGAAUCUUGGGCAAUGGGCGAAAGCCUGACGCAGCAAUGCCGCGUGCAGGAUGAAGGUCUUCGGGUUGUAAAACGCUGUUAUUAGGAAAGAACAACCGUGUAAGAAUACAGGCGCGUCUUGACGGUACCGAAAGAGAAAGCAACGGCUAACUACGUG